rnacentral:tRNA from 1 species
GGAGUGGUAGUUCAGUUGGUUAGAAUACCGGCCUGUCACGCCGGGGGUCGCGGGUUCGAAUCCCGUCCACUCCG